rnacentral:lncRNA from 1 species
AAAAAAUAUUUAUUAUUUUUUUUUUUUGAGAGAAAGAUAGCAUGCUACCCGCUUCGUUUAUUUCAUUUAGAAAUAAACUUGGCUAAAAAUGUUAAUCAACUAGGAUUCGAACUUAAGUCUCGGGUAUCAACCACCAAAUCCUUUUACCACUUGCGCUAGGGACGGUCGGUUUAAAAAAAAAAAAAAAAUUAAAAAAAAUAUUUAUAGUUAUGGCUAGUAUUUAUAGUUAAAAAAAUAAUAUAGUUAUGGCUAGUAUUUUUUGGUUUAUUUCAUUUUUUUAUUGUUGUGAUGAGAAAUUUUAUCGUUAAUUAUAAUUAGACUAAUAUAAAAUAAAUUUAAAAAUAAAUUUAAAUUAAAUUUUCAUAAUGUCACAUGGCAGUUUAUGCAUCCAUAAAACUAGGCUUUUAUACUUUCGAAAGUACGAAAACCUACGUGCUUAUAAAUUAUUUUCAAUGAUGGGAUAUCCAAUUCGAUGAUUGGUUUUAUUAGGUAUGAUCUACGCUAUUAGAACUAUUUAGAAAUCAAAUUUUAUAAUUUUUUGACUUUAUUUACCUAGUAAACGAAUAGUUUCAAAAUGAAUGAUUGAAAAUAAAAAUCGCACAAAAAACGAUCUUGACGUUAAGUAGAAUUUUCUAGGAUGUCACAGACUCCUUCAGUUUAGGGGGUUUAGGCCGUGACGUCCUCGUCAACACUGGCUUAGUCUGUCAUUCCGACCUUGGCUCAGCUAAAACUUAUCUCACACUUUCGACUAGUAAACCGGCUUUGAUACCAAAUGUAACGACUCAACCUACUAACAAUAAUAAUUUAUUGGGCCCAAACCACCAACACAAAAUGCUCAAACUCAGUUAUUAUUAUUAGGAUGGAGUUCUCUUCUAUACCCAAUGACAAUUGCAUUUCUAUCCGAUGUGGGACUAUUAGGGUGUCACACUCUGAUAUUUUUGUAAAGGGAAAACUUCAAAAACCCCCUCUGUGGUUUCAUAGUUUCUCACUUUGCCCCCCUGUGGUUUAAAAUGUAUCAAAUUGCCCCCAUGUGGUUUUGUUUUUAUCUUUUCGAUAGCUUUUUCGUUAAUAUUUCAUUAAAUUAUAUACAAAAAACUUUAGAUACCCAUCUAGAUUUAUCAAAUAUUCACUUUAGUACCCUUUAAUUUUAACUUUAUCACUGAUUUAAGGAAAAAAAAAUAAUGAAAUUGAUAUGAAAAAGAGAAAAAAGAAACCACGGGGGGGCAAAUUGAUACAUUUUAAACCACAGGGGGGCAAAGUGAGAAACUACGAAACCAUAGAUAGGGUUUUUGAAGUUUUCCCUUUUGUAAAUAAUGUCGAAAAAUUAUGAAAUUUGGUUUCUAAAUAGUUCUAAUAGUGUAUAUCAUACAUAACGGAGUCGAUCGUCGAAUCAGAAGUCCUAUCAUCAAAAAAGGAUAAUUUCCUAUAUAUCCUUCAAAACAUCGAAAAUAUCUUAUUUACCUCUACUUUUUUUUUUUUUCUUUCCAAUAUACCUUUCAUAUGUUACUCUGUUAUUCCAAAAUACCCUUAGGGUGCGUUUGGUUCGAGUUAUCCUGGCAGGAUUACAGGCAAUCCUGCCAAGAUAACUGUGUUUGGUUAAUCUGCUAUGUAAUCUAGUCGUUAAUGUAGCAUUACAAAUCGAGCAGGAUUACAUUAAAAAUAUUAACGGGAGGGGGGUCAUGUAUCUUGCAUUACUGAAACCCGUUAAUACUACAUAUUAUGUAAAAUGACAAUUUUACCCUCCAACAACCCCAAAUCUAAUUAACAGCAUUAUUUUCAUCACUCUCGCCUUCCCCCUUCUCUCUCGCACGCCGCUUUCUCUCGCUCUCUCUCUCUCUCUCUCGCACGUCUCUCUCUCUCUCUCUCUCUUUCUCUCUCUCUAUCUCUCGCUCUCUCUCUCUCUCUCUCGCACGUCUCUCUCUCUCUCUCUCUCUUUCUCUCUCUCUAUCUCUAUCUCUUUCUUUAUCUCUCGCACGAACACCUAUCAUCUUCUAUUGCGUCGUCCUCCCAAGCAAUCAUCACGAUCUCCUUCCCUCCAUUCGUCAUUUUCGAAAAAAAAAAUUCAAAUGACCACAACAAGGGCAAUUUUGGAAAAAAAUUAUACUUUUAUAUUAGGAUUGCUAAAUUUUAUAAACUGAACCAAACGUAUUAAUGGUAUAAACACUGUAAUCUAGUAUUACAUUACUACAUUAAACCAAACGCGCUAAUGCAGCAUCAGUAGUAAUCUCACGCCGAAAUCCAAGAUACCUGGAUAUGUCGAGAUACUUUGUAAUAUUAGAUAACUCGAACCAAACGGGCCUUAGGGUGCGUUUAGUUCGCAUUAUGAAAGAUUACUAGAAAUAAAAGAUAUCCAAGAAUCUUAUUCAUAUUCAUCAUAUUACUAAGAAUGUGGAAUUCCUGUGUUUGGUUCGCACGGUAAUAUUAAUUAGCCAUGUUAUUUAAUAUUACAAAAAAUAUACAAUUAAUUAAUUAAUUAAUUUAUUUAAUUUAAAUAAUGUUACCAAAAGUUUCAACAUCUUUUUAGAAAAAAGGAAGAGAGAGUAUAAGUUAGAGAGAGAGAGCAUAAUUAAAAAAAUAGAAAGAAAAAUAUAGUCGAAAUUAGAGGGAUAGAGAGUUGAAAUUUAGAAAGAGAGAGAGAGAAAGCUUAGUUUAGAGAGAGAAAAAAAAGUUGAAUUUUAGAGAGAGAAAUAAGUUUAGAGAGAGAUAUAAGGUUAGAGUGUAAAGAAAAAUAAUAUCAAUUAGUCGGCGGGUAAGAAGAAAGAAAGAGAUUAGACAUAUUAUGAUUACCCCAAUCCAUUAAUAUGAGGAUACCCACUCUCCCUCGAGGGAAUGAGAUUAGUACUUUGAGGUGAAUCUUAUUUCUAAGUGAAUCCAAUAUUACCAACUAGAUUACUUGGUGCAUUUAGCCAAACACCGUCAUAUUUUUUUAUUCAUACUGGAUUACUAGGAAUCUUUAAAUGAUAGCGCGAACCAAACGCACCCUUACAGUUAUCAUCCGUUAAGUUAACUUGAGUUAAACAUGAGUUAAAUAUCUAUCUGAGUUAAAAACUCUAAAUACCUUUUUUGGAAAUGUGGGUGAUGAUAGAAAGUAUAUUUGAACAGACCAAAAAUUUAAAUACUUUUCGUGCCCCUAACUUAAGGACAAAUAAGAAAAGUCGGUAAUGGUAGAAAGGUAUAUUUGAAAGAAAAAAAAAAAUUCAUAGAGAUAACAGUUAUUACUAUCAGUUUAUUAACAAAAUUUAACUCUAUGGGUAUAUUUGAAAUAUGUUGGAACGUAAAUGAAAUAUUUUUAAUAUUAGCCUUCCAAGAGAGAUAAAUUAGAAAAUCGAGAACUUUUAGGAAUAUAUAAGCAAUUGCCCUCAUGAAAAAUAGUUUACAAGCACGUAGGCUUUCAUACUUUCGAAAGUGUAGGAGACGUGCU